AACGAACGCUGGCGGCAUGCCUAACACAUGCAAGUCGAACGAGACCUUCGGGGCUAGUGGCGCACGGGUGCGUAACGCGUGGGAACCUGCCCUUAGGUUCGGAAUAACUCCCCGAAAGGGGUGUUAAUACCGGAUAAUGUCUUCGGACCAAAGAUUUAUCGCCUUUGGAUGGGCCCGCGUUGGAUUAGCUAGUUGGUAGGGUAAAAGCCUACCAAGGCGACGAUCCAUAGCUGGUCUGAGAGGAUGAUCAGCCACACUGGGACUGAGACACGGCCCAGACUCCUACGGGAGGCAGCAGUGGGGAAUAUUGGACAAUGGGCGAAAGCCUGAUCCAGCAAUGCCGCGUGAGUGAUGAAGGCCUUAGGGUUGUAAAGCUCUUUUACCCGGGAUGAUAAUGACAGUACCGGGAGAAUAAGCUCCGGCUAACUCCGUG
rnacentral:rRNA from 1 species